rnacentral:rRNA from 1 species
GACAGAGGAGCCAAGCGUUGUCCGGAUUGACUGGGCGUAAAGCGCACGCAGGCGGUCGUGCACGUGGGGUGUGAAAACUGGCGGCUUAACUGCCAGAGGCCACCUCAUACGGCGCGACUCGAGCCCGUGAGAGGUCCAUGGAAUUCCCGGUGUAGUGGUGAAAUGCGUAGAGAUCGGGAGGAACACCUGUGGCGAAGGCGGCCCCCUGGGCCGCACCUGACGCUGAGACGCGAAGGCGUGGGGAGCGAACGGG